UAAGCUGCCUUAUUCCACCUACUGGUGAUGCGCUGGGGUCAACAAGCCAUCAUCUGCAAGAAAGCUGAUUCCAAAGGAGGAAUCUUCACUCUUUCCCCAUUCUAAGUUCUGUGUCUCCUCUGCCUUUGGGGGUUCACAUCACACCUGCACAGAACUGAGUAGGGCGAAUGACUCCUAUCAGACCCUCAUCCCCAACACCUGCCUGAGAAGCGUGACCCAAGGAAAUAGCGGCUUGUGUGGCUCAGGGCAAAUUCACAGCACCCCAGACGGGUGGUCAGCAGCCAGGGGUCAAACUCCAGGUCUGCCACGAAGUAUCACACAGCUUGGUGAAGCCACACUGCCUGUCUCAGCAGAUGGUAUUCCAUGCCCACGCAGGUCGUAUUUAUUAAACCCUUUCUGCACGUAGGCUGUGCGUAUGGUGAUGGUCAUGCUUCCUUCCCAGUGGCGCGCAGGCCCUAGCAAAUGCCAAAAAAGAAAAAUACGUGAUGGUUUCCUUUCUUGAAGGAGGUGAGCUGGGGACAGUGGGGCCUUGGGGGCAAUGGAGUGUGUAUCUGGUAAGGGGGGAGAAGGAAGGGAAGUAGGAGGAUGACAGAGAAACUCUAGCUACUGAUGCGCCCUUUAGGCAUCCUGAGCUGCUCAGUGGGAUGGUGAGCACUGAGGAGCCUGGGAAGGGCCCUGGUCUCUCCGCUUUCUGUAGAGGUGCUGCCCAAGGCCCAGCAGAGAGGGAGGUGGUCAGAGAAGGGCAGUGGGCAGAUGGUCAAGAGUCCAGGGCAGUGGACCAAGAACUACAAUGUCUGCGACCAUCUCCAACAUUCAAAGCACCUCUUCCCACUUAGACUUCUCUUGGAAAAGCUGGGUUCGACCUCUAAUUCUACUGCUCCUCACAGAGACACAGGAGAAACUCACUGUAGCAGGCUGGAAGCCCCUGUGGUCUGUCUCUGGGCCCAGGAACAAGCUGAUUCACUCCUGCUUACGGAGUCCCCACUUGUAGAUCAAUGGUUGUGGUCCCCAUCCUCAAAGCCAGCCUGGUCUGCUGGGAGAGGCCAGAAUGUCUAUACUGUCAGGUAUAUGUGAUAGAGAGCACAGAGGAAAGGGAGACUGGUGUCCUGGUGGGGAUGGAGAAUGGCUCUAAGGAGACACGUCUCUGAGCUGAACCUUGAAGGAUGUAUAGAACCCUCACAGGUGGAAAGAGGGAAAGGCGUAAGCAGGAAGGACAGCAUAAGCCAAAGGAUGGAGAUAGGCAAGUGCCGGAUCAGUGGUUCUCAACCUGGCUGCAUAUUAAAAUCACCCAUGGAUCUUUUAAAAGGGACUGAUGCCCAAGGCCUGCCACCCGGAGAUACUAAUGUAACCGAUCUGGGGUGGGGUCCCAGCAUUGGUAUUUAUGAAGAACUCCCCAGGGUUGGUGGUUGACAUCCCUGCUACCUGGACCAGCUGCACCACCAUCACUUAGGAGCUUAUUAAUACAGUCUCAGGGCCCCCCGGGUGGCUCAGUCAGUUGAGCAUCUGACUCUUGAUCCAAGCUCAGGUCUUGAUCUCAGUGUCAUGAGUUCAAGCCCCAUACUGGGGCUCCACGCUGGGCAUGGAGCCUACUUAAAACAGCAGCAGCAACAACAACAACGACAACAACCAAUACAAAUACAGAAGAAUCUCAGGGCCCAUCCCAGACCUCCCGAGUCAGAAUCUGCAUUGUCACAAGAUCCCUGGGUGAUCUGUGUGCACGGUAAACUCUGCGAAGGCCUGCUCUAGAGUACUAGAGGAAGGGUGAGGAGUUGCAUUGACAUCAGCAGGCUCAUAUCUUUUUGUUCAAAGGCAUCUGGCUCACUGCUAUGGGGAAGUGGCUGUGCCCAAAAUGAUAUGCCCAAAUGACCCAAAGCAGCAAGAGCCACGUAUCAGAGAACUGCCCUCCGCUGAGCACUGUGCAGAAAGGAGGGUUACUAUAUGGCACAGAUAUAAAAGAGGGAACUAAAAAGUUGGGGGGCAGGGGAACCUGGGUUCUGACAAGACUAGGAUUCUGUGAGGCACUGAGAAGAAAAGGUGAUCUGGGCCAUAGGAAUGUGAACUCAGAGUGCACGUGUGCAUGUAUGUGCAUACACAGGCAUGAAAUUCAAAAUGGUGCUAAAGAUGUUAUCAGACUUUGAACUAUUACCAGAAGCCAAGUGUCCUAAAUUAAAUGCAUCAUUCGUUAAAUGGAAUUUAUGAAAAAUUAACAAGCGCCCAACCAUUAACUUCUGAAAAGCAGCCAUCUUGCUUCUGAGUAUUAUGGGCUAGGAAAUGGCGCCCCUUUGUCUCCUCCCUUCCCAUGCCCCAUUCCCACCCAGCAGGGUUUAAGACGACUUUCCCAGAAUCUAGUCUUCGAUGUCACACACAGACUUUGGAAGUGAUCAGCCCCACUGCUGGAAUGGGACCUAAAAGAGACCCUUCCAUACCAUUCACAGCCCACACAAAGCCAACUCCCGGGAGCAUCUGGUUUUUUUGUGGUGAUGAUUCAACACACAUCUGUUUUUAUUUAUUUUUCUCAACUGAUCUAUGCCCAACAGUUGGCUGGAUAACCCACCAGCCAUUCCUAAUCCCUCUUGCCCACCUCCAGUACUAAGGCUGGAAAAACUAAGUAAUCCUUCGGCAGCUACCCUUGCAGCUAGGAGUGACCACAUGGGACUCACGGAACCAACAAGACAAGAAGCACAGAGACAGAAAGCCAAAACACCAAGGAGGGCCAAGUAGAAAGACUGAAAAAUCUCCUACCCUUGAUAUCACCACUGAACUGCCGGAUACACAACAGGUAACCAUUGCUUCCAUCCUCACUUCUUGUUUUAUGAGAAAAUGUGUUACUGUUAUUUAUGGCCAGAAGCAUACCAGUGGUCUUUCCUAUCCUAAGCUCCUCUCCUUUCAUCAGCUUCCCCUCCUUGUCUAUUUACUAUUUCCAUCUAGUUUUUGCACCACACCAGACUCCAGACUGCUCCAUUUUCCUUAUUAUUUUCCGGGUUACAACCUCUUCCCCCAACUCAUUGUAGAAAACAGCAGGCUCAAAUGCGCAAGCCAACUUUUGAAACACCAAGCUUGAAUGUCCAAUCCUCGAUCCCCACACAGUAGCCUCUUAUCUCUGGAAACUUCAGCAGAGGUACAAAUUUUUACCCAAAGCUGUAAGAACAAGGAGUAAAGUCCAUUAUUAUGUUUCUUUACAUCUUGGGUUAUCAUUAUGAGCCAAUAAGGGUAUAAGGGUAUUUCUCAGGUGUAUUUAUAUUUUAACAAAUCUUGAAUUUCGUAGCAGGUAACAAGACGCAGCUAACUCAUCCAGGCUGACAUGAUCAACAAAGACAGAAGGCCUUGAAUAAGUAACUACUCCUGAGAACAGAUGUGUAAACAGAAACACGAUUUACGAGCUAGCCUAGUUCUCUUCUUAACCUAGACUGAUAUGAUCCAGACACUACCUGGCUGGCCCCGAGUGUCCCUCCAGCACUUAACUGGAUAUAUGAUCAGGCAAAACAUAUUCUACUCUUGCUUAAGUUUAAGAUUUCUUUCUUUCAGCUGACUCCUUAAUAUAUAUGUUCAACAGACAUGUUUUCUGCAACUAUUGACAUGCCUUGGCCUCCUUCAGGUUGUGAAAUGCUCAAAGGCAGGAACUGUGUCCAAAUGGCACUUUGUCCUUCCACACUGCACCCACCCCAGGGCCAAGUCUGAUCCCAUCCCCAAAACAACAGUAACCAAGUCAAAAUUAGAAAUAACAUGGCAGUUGCCAGUCACAACCAAACAGCCAUUUCUUACCUGUACAUGCUACAGAAAUUAGUCAUGUUUUCAGGGCUCCCUCAUUUCAAGAAUGAUUCACAAUUUUUUGUGAGUCAGACACACCACCCCAUUCCUGCUCUAGCUCAUAAGGAGUGUGGAGUGAAAGCAUCAAGGAAUGGAUAAUUACCCCAAGAUUACCCUGGGGGGGCAGAGAGGCAGACCUUGAUAGGGACGGGAGCUCACCAGGACCAUUACAGAAGGUCAAGCAAUCUAACUGCAAUGCUCAAUUUCCCCAAACAGGAAUAUUGCUGUCAUGGUCAACAUCUAUUCAUCAGCACACAGACUGAUCUAUCCGUUCUUCUACAAGUGGCAUUCUUCCCCCCUUUCUUGGCUUUGUUUCUUCUUCACACACCAGGCAUGAAGCUUCAGGAGGGUCACCCUUCCCCAACCAUAUAUAUGAGCAAAAAAGAAAACUCUCUUAUCAGAUCACAUCAAACUAACAUUCUGAAAAUUCUCCUGAAAUGAUCGAUUUCUUUCUGGAACUUUCUCUAACCAGUACCUCACUCCUCCGUAACAUGCCCAGCCGCCUGGUCUUUUAGAGCUCAUCUUUAUGCAAUAAGCACUUGACCAUGGAUGCUGGGAAACUGUUCAGAAGCCAUUCCUCCAAGGCCCUGCCAGUUCUAAGAUGCCGAGAGCCCAUCAGUUGGUGACUGGCUCCCUGAGUGAAAGUGGUAAGCUCAGCCUGGUGGCUUCCCCUCACAUCCUUCCAGAUUUAGGUGUGGGACUUUCAUGACCCCAAAUCAUUUACCAGCAGAGCAGGCGCUGGAAAGAACAAGGGGCUUUAUAGACAGAAAGUUCUGAGUCUGAACCUAGCUUGGUGUGAUUCCAGGCAUACCCGCUUAACACCUACAAGCCUGUUUUCUCAUCUGUAAAUUAACACCUGCCCUGCGGGAUUCUUUCAAGGAUUACAAAUAGUGCAGGAAGUUUCCGGCCCAGAGGGGAUGCUCAGUCCGGUCAAUUACCAAUAAUCAUCCUUAUCACCGUAGUGAGAACACUCCAAAAAUACACCCAUGCACUUAUGUGAUACCUCAGUCAUUGGUACCGCUUGGUCUGUGCGUGCAUCCACUCAGGGUCUUUAUUCUGUGGCAUGUCCGUGGGUCUGCCUUAGAGUCUAAGGCCCCACGGAGGGGCAGGAGUGAGGGCAGGGCAAGGUUUAAACAAUACACAGAGGAAGGCACAUUCCCUUUGGAGACGAGGCGCCUGCUGUUUUUGGGGGAGAUCUGGCUUCCUAUCAAAAUUUGGUGGGUUAGCUAAACUGUCUGAACAACGCCAAAGCCUCAAGUCUAACCCUGACAUGGCUCCCUCUUCCGGAGCCGUGGAGCCCACGCCCCUUCCAAGGUCAGCUGCUUCAUUUACAAAAUGAUCACCAGUCACAAACAGUGAGUUACCAACACCUGUUGGCAGUACCAGAAGAAAACCUAGGAUCUGUUCUUCAGUCCAUCUUGGAUGCAAUGGGGAUAGGAGUUUCAACUUUGUUUGUGGAAGGACAGCAUUUAAAAUGUUCAAUAUCAAUUCCUAUGCUGACAUCCCCCCUCCUGCAACCCCAGGCUUUGGUAAUUAUUAGUGAAGCCAUCUGCUCAGCCUAAUGAAAUGUGCAAUCUCCUGCACAUAUAAUUGGUGAAGUCACUUUAAUUAAUUAAACAAAUUAAUUAAUUGCAAGGAUACUGCAACCAUUUCCUAGGAACUGCAUCCAACUCAUUUAUUCUCCAUGUGUCUACCGGGCUCCUACUGAGGGCAGAGUCCCACACUCGUGCUCUGAGGAGAUAAAGAUGCACCAAGUAGAAACGGAAGCCAAAUGACACGGUUGCUGAUGACUAUCCCUUCCGCUUCAGGCCCAGUUUCUCCAUCUGUUACCCAAAUGAUGUGGUUUCGAGUUGGGAGUGCUGUCCCAAUCCUCUAACACCCUGUUGAAGCCCCUCCUGUGGUACAGUACCCAGGUAUGCCCCUCAUGCCCGGUUACCACACCCCUGCUGGAUUCUCCACUCUGUUACAGCAUCUGGCAGCUUCACCACGCACUGACUCCCACCAGCUCCCUGACGCCGUUUCUGAACGUGCUACUGUUGAGCCACAAUUCCAUCCCAUCUGCCACAGGACUUCCCAGGAGCUUACACUCCAUCUGGAGUCCUGGGAUAUGAGAAACCCCACCAGACGGUAAGAAAAUAUCCUAUAAAUGACCAACUGCCACUUUCCCUGUUAGAAACAACUUGCUCUGAAGGUUUGCUUAAAAGUGAUUUCUUAAGAAUCCUGACAGCAUGUAGCCACAGAAACCGUAUUUAAAACGAUGGAUGGACUCUCAGACUCUCAGGUUCACAAAAGCCUUCUGAACUCACAAUGUACCUGCAGCAUAAAACCAAUAGAGCUAUUUUACCUACA